rnacentral:rRNA from 1 species
UACGUAGGGGGCAAGCGUUGUCCGGAUUUAUUGGGCGUAAAGAGCGUGUAGGCGGCCAUGUAGGUCCGUUGUGAAAACUCGAGGCUCAACCUCGAGACGCCGAAUGGAAACCAUGUGGCUAGAGUCCGGAAGAGGAGAGUGGAAUUCCUGGUGUAGCGGUGAAAUGCGCAGAUAUCAGGAAGAACACCCGUGGCUAAGGCGGCUCUCUAGUACGGUACUGACGCUGAGACGCGAAAGCGUGGGGAGCGAACAGG